UUGCAGAGAGCACACAGCACUCCGUUCUCCCCAACAGCCAGGAUCUUUUUCUCAGCCUGACUGAAGCACCCUCCCAACCCCCAGACAAUGAGGCCAUGGAAGGGACCUCCGCUGCAAAUUUUUCAAGCCUCCCUCCUCCGUCCCGAAGGCUAUCUCAGAUAAGGUGUCGAAAAAAGAGGAUGUGAGACGUAAUGUUCUCGGAAAUCAUGGAAUCCACCUGCAAUGAAAGAGCUCAUCUGAAGGAAUGGAAGGACAUGGUAUCAAAGUACAGGAAAGAUGCCAGUGAGGCCAUGAGGGACGCUCGAGAUGAGAGGUGGCAGGCUGCAAUGCGGGGCCUGCUGCGUGAUCAAACGGACAUGCUCCGGCGUCUGGUGGAGCUUCAGGAAUGGCAGCAGGAGCACAGAGUGCUGCUGCAGCCGCUGUAUAACCUCCCUCCCCCCUCACCACGUUCCAUAGCCUCCUCACCCAGACAUGCAAGAACGCGGGGGGGAGGGGGGGAGGGAGGCUCCGUGUACCCUCCCACUCCACCCCAGUGGACAGCCCAACCGAAAGGCUGUCAUUACACUGAACUUUUUUAGUGCCUUUUCCUUCCCUUCUAUCCUCCUCCCAAACCCCACCCGGGCUACCUUGUCAGUUCUUUCCCUCUUUUUAUAAUCAAUUAAUAAAGAAUGCAUGAUUUUUAAACGA